rnacentral:rRNA from 1 species
GAUGAACGCUGGCGGCGUGCCUAAUACAUGCAAGUCGAGCGAACGGACGAGAAGCUUGCUUCUCUGAUGCUAGCGGCGGACGGGUGAGUAACACGUGGAUAACCUACCUAUAAGACUGGGAUAACUUCGGGAAACCGGAGCUAAUACCGGAUGAUAUUUUGAACCGCAUGGUUCAAAAGUGAAAGACGGUCUUGCUGUCACUUAUAGAUGGGUCCGCGCUGCAUUAGCUAGUUGGUAAGGUAACGGCUUACCAAGGCAACGAUGCAUAGCCGACCUGAGAGGGUGAUCGGCCACACUGGAACUGAGACACGGUCCAGACUCCUACGGGAGGCAGCAGUAGGGAAUCUUCCGCAAUGGGCGAAAGCCUGACGGAGCAACGCCGCGUGAGUGAUGAAGGUCUUCGGAUCGUAAAACUCUGUUAUUAGGGAAGAACAUAUGUGUAAGUAACUGUGCACAUCUUGACGGUACCUAAUCAGAAAGCCACGGCUAACUACGUG